rnacentral:misc_RNA from 1 species
GAUGAAGAACGCAGCGAAAUGCGAUAAGUAAUGUGAAUUGCAGAAUUCAGUGAAUCAUCGAAUCUUUGAACGCACAUUGCGCCCAUUAGUAUUCUAGUGGGCAUGCCUAUUCGAGCGUCAUUUCAACCCUUAAGCCUCUGUUGCUUAGCGUUGGGAGCCUACCUACCCGGUAGAUCCUCAAAGUUAGCUGGCAGGGUCGAGGUUCGCCCUAAGCGUAGUAGUUCUUUCUCGCUUCUGCGGCUGCCUAGGCCAUCGCCUCAAGCCUUUUAAACUUCAAUGGUUGACCUCGGAUCAGGUAGGAAUACCCGCUGAACUUAAGCAUAUCAAUAAGCGGAGGA